UAUCUGGUUGAUCCUGCCAGUAGUCAUAUGCUUGUCUCAAAGAUUAAGCCAUGCAUGUCAAAGUAUAAGCACUUGUACUGUGAAACUGCGAAUGGCUCAUUAAAUCAGUUAUCGUUUAUUUGAUUGUACCUUUACUACUUGGAUAACCGUGGUAAUUCUAGAGCUAAUACAUGCGAAAAGUCCCGACUUCUGGAAGGGAUGUAUUUAUUAGAUUCAAAACCAAUGCGGGUUCUGCCCGGUCAUUUGGUGAUUCAUAGUAACUGUUUGAAUCGCAGGGCCUGGCGCCGGCGAUGUUUCAUUCAAAUUUCUGCCCUAUCAACUGUCGAUGGUAAGGUGUUGGCUUACCAUGGUUACAACGGGUGACGGAGAAUUAGGGUUCGAUUCCGGAGAGGGAGCCUGAGAAACGGCUACCACAUCCAAGGAAGGCAGCAGCCGCGCAAAUUACCCAAUCCUGACUCAGGGAGGUAGUGACAAGAAAUAACAAUACAGGGCUUUCUAAGUCU
rnacentral:ncRNA from 1 species